UUAGUUGUGAUUUUUUUGUCA
rnacentral:piRNA from 1 species